GACGAACGCUGGCGGCGUGCUUAACACAUGCAAGUCGAACGGGUCUGCCCUGUUUUUUGCGGGGUGGGUCAGUGGCGAACGGGUGAGUAACACGUGAGUAACCUGCCCCUCACUUCUGGAUAACCGCUUGAAAGGGUGGCUAAUACGGGGUGUUCUGGCUGUGCCGCAUGGUGUGGCUGGGAAAGAUUCACUUUUGUGGUGUUUUGGUGGGGGAUGGGCUCGCGGCCUAUCAGCUUGUUGGUGGGGUGAUGGCCUGCCAAGGCUUUGACGGGUAGCCGGCCUGAGAGGGUGGGCGGUCACACUGGGGCUGAGAUACGGCCCAGACUCCUGCGGGAGGCAGCAGUGGGGGGUAUUGCACAAUGGGCGGAAGCCUGAUGCAGCGACGUCGCGUGAGGGAUGGAGGCCUUCGGGUUGUGAACCUCUUUCGCCGGUGAAGAAGGUCCUGCUCUUUGUGGUGGGGUUGACGGUAGCCGGGUUAUGAAGCGCCGGCUAACUACGUG
rnacentral:rRNA from 1 species